GGGGAGAGAGAGAGAGAUGGGUUACGUUCUGAGAGUGAGAAUGGCGUCGUUCUUCGCCGGCGCCGCAGCGGCAUCAUUUGUGGGUAUGUACAUCCUCCACCAGGAUUACCAGGUUGCUCACCACUCCAUCUCUCAACAGAUGAAAGGACUGAAUGAGUCUCUGGAUGGACGCAUAUCUGCUCUGGAAAAGUUUAAGGAGAUGGAAGCUUCAAAACCUGUGGAAGCGGCAGAAUAGAUGUCUGAGGGUCUGCUGCUAGCCUUUUAUGUUGCAGACUUGCAGGUCCUGUUCAGGAGGAUUCCUCUUUUUUCCUCUUUUUUUUCUUUUUUAAAAAAUUUUACUUCACUAUUUCAUGUCAAUAAUUGCACACCAAUUGCUCUUAUGAUAUUAAAUUCUCACAUUGUGCAAGAAUCAUCUUUGUUUGUUUGUUAAUGAACACAGAAAAUGUAGCUUCUCAAAAUUAUGACACCUUGCUGGAUGGUUGAGCAA